CCUACGGGUGGCAGCAGUAGGGAAUCUUUCACAAUGGGCGAAAGCCUGAUGGAGCAACGCCGCGUGCAGGAUGAAGGCCUUCUGGUUGUAAACUGCUUUUAUCAGCGAGAAAUAUGAUGGUAACUUAUGAAUACUGCUCGGCUCACUACGUUCCAGCCGCCGCGGUCAUACGUAGGAUCCGAGCAUUAUCCGGAGUGACUGGGUGUAAAGAGUUGCGUAGGUGGCAUAAUAAGUAGCUAGUGAAAUCUGGUGGCUCAACCAUUCAGACUAUUAGGUAAACUGUUAAGCUCGAGACCGUUAGGGGUAACUGGAAUUUCUAGUGUAGGAGUGAAAUCCGUAGAUAUUAGAAAGAACACCGAUAGCGUAGGCAGGUUACUGGGACGGUUCUGACACUAAGGCACGAAAGCGUAGGGAGCAAACGGGAUUAGAUACCCGGGUAGUC
rnacentral:rRNA from 1 species